GCGAGAGUGGCGGAAUCGGCAGACGCACCAUCUUGAGGGGGUGGCGGUCAACGACCGUGCGGGUUCAAGUCCCGCCUCUCGCA
rnacentral:tRNA from 1 species